CCCUGGAGGGUGUUGUCUGAACAGGUAUAAAGACAAGGUUGGUGAUUUACUGCCCCCUGGAGGGUGUUGUCUGAACAGGUAUAAAGACAAGGUUGGUGAUUUACUGCCCCCUGGAGGGUGUUGUCUGAACAGGUAUAAAGACAAGGUUGGUGAUUUACUGCCCCCCUGGAGGGUGUUGUCUGAACAGGUAUAAAGACAAGGUUGGUGAUUUACUGCCCCCUGGAGGGUGUUGUCUGAACAGGUAUAAAGACAAGGUUGGUGAUUUACUGCCCCCUGGAGGGUGUUGUCUGAACAGGUAUAAAGACAAGGUUGGUGAUUUACUGCCCCCUGGAGGGUGUUGUCUGAACAGGUAUAAAGACAAGGUUGGUGAUUUACUGCCCCCUGGAGGGUGUUGUCUGAACAGGUAUAAAGACAAGGUUGGUGAUUUUACUGCCCCCUGGAGGGUGUUGUCUGAACAGGUAUAAAGACAAGGUUGGUGAUUUACUGCCCCCUGGAGGGUG